CUAAUGAUUCUGAGAAUAGAUGAAGUGGAACAGCCAGGUGCGAUCUCUACAUGAGGCCCAGGGUUAACAUCCAUUUUCUAGUUCCUAAUCCACUGUCUAUGAAUCUCUCAAAAUCCACGACUUCUUCCUCUGAAUGUCAUUUGGGGAACAUGGGCUCUCCAACUAGAGCAUCUGUGAGGCAACUCCUCCUCUUCUCCCAUCCAGGUAGUCACCAGGCCUGACCCUGCUUAGCUUCCAAGAUCUGACGAGAUCAGGCGCAUUCAGGGUGACACGGCCGGCUGCACUGAGCCACCAGAGUUGUCUCUUCAACAAGAGAGGUUUGAUCAUCUCAGUAACCUUCUUCUGGGACUCCUGUUAGACGUGUAUACUUAAUACCAUCAGCUGAGUCGUAACAUUCAUCCAAGUCAACUGACCUCCCAGCCUGCCCACAUUGCCUCCCUGCAGGAAGUGAUUUUGCACACAGAAGCCCCUGGUGGGGUACAGUGGAGUGUGAAGUGUCUGUUCUGGGACCACAGUUCCAUCCCUGGAGCAGCGAUUGUAAAGCAUCGUUCUCCUGUUCCAGUAUCUCUCCAGAGACACUCAGGUCUCUGUCACAGGAUCACCAUCGUUAAAGGUAUCUGUCGCUCUGUCUGGAAAGGUGUCUUUCCAGGGGAGGAAAGAGCCAGCUUUGGAGGCACCUGGUUGACUUCAACUAGAGAUCUUGUUGGGUCUGGAGUUGACACCUGGAACUGCUGCAGCCUUUUUGCAACCAUGAAGGAAUCUAGCCUUAGAACAAUGGUAUCACAAAGAUGGAAUGCCGAGCCAAGAGAAUCACCAAGGGGGGACCCAGAUCCCUGAUUAUCCCGUGCCUGGAGCUACGAUCACCUCCGCUUUCUUGCCUCAUGUGAUAAUACAUUUCCUCACUGUUUGAAA